rnacentral:lncRNA from 1 species
UUGCUAAUGUCAUGCUUUAUUUGUCUCUUUUCCUUUCAAAAAACUGAAGUUCUUUCUUUCAAUUAAUGCAUUUUGCUUAUAUUGUGGCUUAGCUGGUGAUUAGUUUCUGUCAGAAGACAGCCUGGGGGUUCUCUCUAUAGACAUUGAAUAGGAAAACGCAAGGGGAUGGCUUUCCGCGACCUUGUAGUUGAUACCUGAAUUCUCUCCUUCAAUUUCCAUUCUAUUCCUCGUAAUUAAUUAAUUAAUUAUUUAUUUAAUUUAUCUGUAUUUGAGGUUGGUAAACAAUAGUAUGGAAGGACCCAGCGUAUAAUACAAAGAUACUUGAGUUCUAAUGUAUUAUUAACAGCAAGCCAAACCAUAUCUUACCUUCCUGAAGAUGAUCAACAAUUACUGCUCUCUCUUAUGUAACCCCACUUGGAACAAUGACCGAGAUCACGAAAAUUAUUAUCAAGCGUGAUCUUACGACAUAAGCAAUGGAGUACCUGAAAUCCUCAAUCAGUAUCUCCAUAAAGUGCAAUAUAUAAACUUUGAUGCUUGAAAGAAUCAUGAUACACACACCUCGGUUGGCAUGUCUUCUUCCGCAGCUUUUUGGAAGACUAGCUCAAUUGUCUCAGAUGAGUGUCAAUGGUUUGAUCCAAGAACCCUUCUGUCUCAGAAACCACCAAGAAGAUAUUUCUGUUUUAAGAGGUGUCUCGCAUGCUUCCCUGACCCAAACAUGAACAAAUUAAACAAGACAUCUCAUAGCAAAAUAAAUAUGGAAACAGUAGACCCUGAAGGUAAAAAAGUCUAAAACUCACAAUGACCGCAUACUUCAAACUUUGUACUUCCCGUGAUCGCUCGCUCCCACUCCCACGUAUUUUGUUUUUGCAAGCUCCUACCAGAUCUCUUCUACCAUCUAACCGGUGCUUGCAAGAUCUAACGCCUAUGCAUGAAAGUUUUUAAAGAAACCAUCACACACUUAGGAGGAUCAAUAACAAAGACCUCUGCCCAUAAUAUGUCUAAUGAGUUAUAACCAUCUCAAGUUCCACGAUCCUCUUCGUGCAACCGUGCUUCCAGCCGUAUUUUCUUUUAAUUUUUUUGGGAUCUGACAAAAUCAAAUUGGUCUUGUGGGUUAUAACACCCUCUGAUUAUUUUAAUUCAAUCGUCGGAAGUUCUUUUGGCAUAUAAUAUAAUAAGAAUAGUAAUGAUAAACUGUCAGCAGGCUCUUUUGAUUAAGAAUAUACAAGAAUUAGUCUUGGUUUAUGAACCACAACUAACAAGCAUUUAAUUAGCAACUCGAUAUGUA